rnacentral:rRNA from 1 species
CUUNANNNNNNNNNNAGUCGAACGGUAACAGGAAGAAAGCUUGCUUUCUUUGCUGACGAGUGGCGGACGGGUGAGUAAUGCUUGGGAAUCUGGCUUAUGGAGGGGGAUAACUACUGGAAACGGUAGCUAAUACCGCGUAAUGUCUACGGACUAAAAGGGGCGAAAGCUCUUGCCAUAAGAUGAGCCCAAGUGGGAUUAGGUAGUUGGUGAGGUAACGGCUCACCAAGCCGUCGAUCUCUAGCUGGUCUGAGAGGAUGACCAGCCACACUGGAACUGAGACACGGUCCAGACUCCUACGGGAGGCAGCAGUGGGGAAUAUUGCACAAUGGGGGAAACCCUGAUGCAGCCAUGCCGCGUGAAUGAAGAAGGCCUUCGGGUUGUAAAGUUCUUUCGGUGAUGAGGAAGGUGUAAUGGUUAAUACCCAUUACAAUUGACGUUAGUCACAGAAGAAGCACCGGCUAACUCCGUGCCAGCAGCCGCGGUAAUACGGAGGGUGCAAGCGUUAAUCGGAAUAACUGGGCGUAAAGGGCACGCAGGCGGUUGUUUAAGUGAGGUGUGAAAGCCCCGGGCUCAACCUGGGAAUUGCAUUUCAGACUGGACAACUAGAGUACUUUAGGGAGGGGUAGAAUUCCACGUGUAGCGGUGAAAUGCGUAGAGA